GCAGACAGGGAACAACAGAGAGGAACAUUCCAGGUAGAAGUCAUAGCUAGAGAUGUUGUUGGGGGAGGUACCAAACAGCUCAGUAUGACUAGAGCCUUGGAAAGAAGAUAUAAUUAUACAAGUAUGUAGAAACCCCAUGACAAGAGCUUUACAAGAGCUUUGUGUGCAGAACCAAUUUUGGUCUUCCCAGCCUUAAUCAGAGCUGCAGACACAUACUUAAUAAAGGUUCUGAGUGACAAAAUAAAAACAGAGGAAGAAGUUCUAAGGAAACUUGAAAGCCGGAUUAAAUGUCUGACUUUUUAAAAUUGAACCCUGACUCGUGGUGUGAGCGCCUCCUCAUGAUGCUCAGGGAACCCAUUGUCCAAGGACAUCAGUCAUGAGAAAGGAUAGAGACCAGCAUCUAUUCUUUAGCACACCUGGCUCAUCAUACAAGCUCCCAUCUCCAGAGUAGGCAUACCACCAGAGGACCCCAGCAGAAAUCAGCAGAGCUCAGAAAAUGUGGAAGCUCAGUUUGGUGGAACAGCACUUUGGAAACAACCUCAAUGACAGAUCAUGGAAUAUAUAUUAAACAGAUUGGAACAGCUGUUCCAACAGCUGUAUGGUGAGGCACUGUGUAGCUUUGAAAAUGUUGAUACAGAGAGUGUUCAUGAUUGUUAUUGAAAAAGUCAGGCGAGGGGCACCUGGGUGGCUCAGUUCGUUAAGUGGCCAACUCUUGGUUUUGGUUCAAGUCUCAGUUGCCAGGUCAUGAAAUUGAGCCUUGUGUGGGGGUUCACACUCAGCGUAGGGUCUACUUAAGAUUCUCUCUCUCUCUUCCUCUCCCUCUCCUUCUCCCCCUUCUUGUACUACAGAUAGAUGAUAGAUAGAUAGAUAGAUAGAUAGAUAGAUAGAUAGAUAGAUAGAUGAUAGAUAGAUAGAUAAAAUAUUUUUUAAAAAUAUCAGAUGAGAGCUUAUGUGCCUCAAUCAUUUAAGUGUCUGCCUUUGGCUCAGGUCAUGAUUCCAGGGUCCUGGGAUCGAGUCCCGCAUCCAGCUCCCUGCUCCUCAGGGAGCAUGCUUCUCCCUCUCCCUCUACCUGC